CGUAGGGUGCGAGCGUUGUCCGGAUUUAUUGGGCGUAAAGAGCUCGUAGGCGGUUUGUCGCGUCGGCCGUGAAAUCUCCACGCUUAACGUGGAGCGUGCGGUCGAUACGGGCAGACUUGAGUUCGGUAGGGGAGACUGGAAUUCCUGGUGUAGCGGUGAAAUGCGCAGAUAUCAGGAGGAACACCGGUGGCGAAGGCGGGUCUCUGGGCCGAUACUGACGCUGAGGAGCGAAAGCGUGGGGAGCGAACAGGAUUAGAUACCCUGGUAGUCCACGCUGUAAACGUUGGGCGCUAGGUGUGGGCGACAUCCACGUUGUCCGUGCCGUAGCUAACGCAUUAAGCGCCCCGCCUGGGGAGUACGGCCGCAAGGCUAA
rnacentral:rRNA from 1 species